GGACCAAGGAGUCUGACAUGCGUGCGAGUCGACGGGUUUUGAAACCUGGGAUGCGCAAGGAAGCUGACGAGCGGGGGGCCCUCAUGGGCCGCCCCGCUGGCCGACCCUGAUCUUCUGUGAAGGGUUCGAGUUGGAGCACGCCUGUCGGGACCCGAAAGAUGGUGAACUAUGCCUGAGCGGGGCGAAGCCAGAGGAAACUCUGGUGGAGGCUCGAAGCG
rnacentral:ncRNA from 1 species